rnacentral:rRNA from 1 species
UACGUAGGGGGCAAGCGUUGUCCGGAUUUAUUGGGCGUAAAGAGCUCGUAGGCGGUUUGGUAAGUCAGGUGUGAAAUCUCCACGCUCAACGUGGAGGGGCCAUUCGAUACUGCCGUGACUCGAGUCCGGUAGGGGAGUGUGGAAUUCCCGGUGUAGCGGUGAAAUGCGCAGAGAUCGGGAGGAACACCCGUAGCGAAGGCGGCACUCUGGGCCGGUACUGACGCUGAGACGCGAAAGCGUGGGGAGCAAACAGG